UGGCGACCGGCAAACGGGUGCGGAACACGUACACAACCUCCCGAUAAGUUGGGGAAUAGCCCAUGAGAAAUUUGGAUUAAUACCCCGUAACAUUGCGAUGUGGUAUCACAUUGCAAUUAUAGCUUCGGCGCUUAUUGAUGGGUGUGCGUAUGAUUAGAUAGUUGGCGAGGUAACGGCUCACCA
rnacentral:rRNA from 1 species